rnacentral:rRNA from 1 species
GAGAGUUUGAUUCUGGCUCAGGAUGAACGCUGACAGAAUGCUUAACACAUGCAAGUCUACUUGAACUUCGGUUUGGGUGGCGGACGGGUGAGUAACGCGUAAAGAACUUGCCUCACAGUUAGGGACAACAUUUGGAAACGAAUGCUAAUACCUGAUAUUAUGAUUUUAGGGCAUCCUAAGAUUAUGAAAGCUAUAUACGCUGUGAGAGAGCUUUGCGUCCCAUUAGCUAGUUGGAGAGGUAACGGCUCACCAAGGCGAUGAUGGGUAGCCGGCCUGAGAGGGUGAACGGCCACAAGGGGACUGAGACACGGCCCUUACUCCUACGGGAGGCAGCAGUGGGGAAUAUUGGACAAUGGACCAAAAGUCUGAUCCAGCAAUUCUGUGUGCACGAUGACGUUUUUCGGAAUGUAAAGUGCUUUCAGUUGGGAAGAAAAAAAUGACGGUACCAACAGAAGAAGUGACGGCUAACUACGUGCCAGCAGCCGCGGUAAUACGUAUGUGGCAAGCGUUGUCCGGAUUUAUUGGGCGUAAAGCGAGCGCAGGCGGUCAAUUAAGUCUGAUGUGAAAGCCCCCGGCUCAACCGGGGAGGGUCAUUGGAAACUGGUUGACUUGAGUGCAGAAGAGGAGAGUGGAAUUCCAUGUGUAAGCGGUGAAAUGCGUAGAUAUAUGGAGGAACACCAGUGGCGAAGGCGACUCUCUGGUCUGUAACUGACCGCUGAGCGCUCGAAAGCGUGGGUAGCAANACAGGAUUAGAUACCCCUGGUAGUCCACGCCGUAAACGAUGAGUGCUAAGUGUUGGAGGGUUUCCGCCCUUCAGUGCUGCAGUUACCGCAUUAAGCACUCCGCCUGGGGAGUACGACCGCCAAGGUUGAAACUCAAAGGAAUUGAGCGGGGACCCGCANCAAGCGGUGGAGCAUGUGGUUUAAUUCGAAGCAACGCGAAGAACCUUACCAAGUCUUGACAUCCUUUGACCACUCUAGAGAUAGAGCUUUCCCUUNCGGGGACAAAGUGANCAGGUGGUGCAUGGUUGUCGUCAGCUCGUGUCGUGAGAUGUUGGGUUAAGUCCCGCAACGAGCGCAACCCUUAUUACUAGUUGCCAGCAUUGAGUUGGGCACUCUAGUGAGACUGCCGGUGACAAACCGGAGGAAGGUGGGGAUGACGUCAAAUCAUCAUGCCCCUUAUGACUUGGGCUACACACGUGCUACAAUGGAUGGUACAACGAGCAGCGAACUCGCGAGGGUAAGCGAAUCUCUUAAAGCCAUUCUCAGUUCGGAUUGUAGGCUGCAACUCGCCUACAUGAAGCCGGAAUCGCUAGUAAUCGCGGAUCAGCACGCCGCGGUGAAUACGUUCCCGGGUCUUGUACACACCGCCCGUCACACCACGAGAGUUUGUAACACCCAAAGUCGGUGAGGUAACCUUAAGGAGCCAGCCGCCUAAGGUGGGAUAGAUGAUUGGGGUGAAGUCGUAACAAGGUAGCCGUAUCGGAAGGUGCGGCUGGAACACCUCCUUC